UCGAACGGCAGCGCGGGGCAACCUGGCGGCGAGUGGCGAACGGGUGAGUAAUAUAUCGGAACGUACCCUGGAGUGGGGGAUAACGUAGCGAAAGUUACGCUAAUACCGCAUACGAUCUAAGGAUGAAAGCAGGGGACCGCAAGGCCUUGUGCUCCUGGAGCGGCCGAUAUCUGAUUAGCUAGUUGGUGGGGUAAAGGCCCACCAAGGCAUCGAUCAGUAGCUGGUCUGAGAGGACGACCAGCCACACUGGAACUGAGACACGGUCCAGACUCCUACGGGAGGCAGCAGUGGGGAAUUUUGGACAAUGGGCGCAAGCCUGAUCCAGCAAUGCCGCGUGAGUGAAGAAGGCCUUCGGGUUGUAAAGCUCUUUUGUCAGGGAAGAAACGGUGGGGGCUAAUAUCCUUUGCUAAUGACGGUACCUGAAGAAUAAGCACCGGCUAACUACGUGCCAGCAGCCGCGGUAAUACGUAGGGUGCAAGCGUUAAUCGGAAUUACUGGGCGUAAAGCGUGCGCAGGCGGUUUUGUAAGACUGUCGUGAAAUCCCCGGGCUCAACCUGGGAAUGGCGAUGGUGACUGCAAGGCUAGAGUUUGGCAGAGGGGGGUAGAAUUCCACGUGUAGCAGUGAAAUGCGUAGAUAUGUGGAGGAACACCGAUGGCGAAGGCAGCCCCCUGGGUCAAAACUGACGCUCAUGCACGAAAGCGUGGGGAGCAAACAGGAUUAGAUACCCUGGUAGUCCACGCCCUAAACGAUGUCUACUAGUUGUCGGGUCUUAAUUGACUUGGUAACGCAGCUAACGCGUGAAGUAGACCGCCUGGGGAGUACGGUCGCAAGAUUAAAACUCAAAGGAAUUGACGGGGACCCGCACAAGCGGUGGAUGAUGUGGAUUAAUUCGAUGCAACGCGAAAAACCUUACCUACCCUUGACAUGGAUGGAAUCCCUGAGAGAUUGGGGAGUGCUCGAAAGAGAACCAUUACACAGGUGCUGCAUGGCUGUCGUCAGCUCGUGUCGUGAGAUGUUGGGUUAAGUCCCGCAACGAGCGCAACCCUUGUCAUUAGUUGCUACGAAAGGGCACUCUAAUGAGACUGCCGGUGACAAACCGGAGGAAGGUGGGGAUGACGUCAAGUCCUCAUGGCCCUUAUGGGUAGGGCUUCACACGUCAUACAAUGGUACAUACAGAGGGCCGCCAACCCGCGAGGGGGAGCUAAUCCCAGAAAGUGUAUCGUAGUCCGGAUUGUAGUCUGCAACUCGACUGCAUGAAGUUGGAAUCGCUAGUAAUCGCGGAUCAGCAUGUCGCGGAGAAUACGUUCCCGGGUCUUGUA
rnacentral:rRNA from 2 species